CACGACUCUUUGGGCCCGGCUAGCCAGCCAGUUUUCAACCCAACGAAGCGUACGUCAGUCCAAGCCAUGAGCAGCCAGUUUCUUGAGGAGAAUGCUGUAGGAAACGGUGUCAAAAACCUUACUGAACUCAAGGUAGACCGCAUCCACAGCCUUUCCCUCGUCCACUAAGCGUGUCACUUUGUCAUAGAAGGAGAUCAGGCCCAGUCAGCAUGGGUUUAUGAAAGGCAUAUCCUCCUUGACGAACCUGAUCUCCUUCUAUGACAAAGUGACACGCUUAGUGGACGAGGGAAAGGCUGUGGAUGCGGUCUACCUUGAGUUCAGUAAGGUUUUUGACACCGUUUCC